CAUAAAUCAUAAUACAACUUUCAGCAACGGAUCUCUUGGCUCUCGCAUCGAUGAAGAACGCAGCGAAUUGCGAUAAGUAAUGUGAAUUGCAGAUUUUCAGUGAAUCAUCGAAUCUUUGAACGCACCUUGCGCUCCUUGGUAUUCCGAGGAGCAUGCCUGUUUG
rnacentral:rRNA from 1 species